CUAUUAUUUCAUCAAACAUGUCCCGCCACUGACAGAAGAACAACUAAAUAGGAAACCUGCUCUUCCGUUGAAAACAAGAAGCACACCGGAAUUCUCCCUAGUUUUAGACUUGGAUGAAACACUAGUGCAUUGUAGUCUAAAUGAGCUAGAAGAUGCAGCACUUACUUUUCCAGUCCUUUUCCAAGAUGUCAUUUAUCAGUGGUGUUGUCUCCAUCUACUGGCAAAGAAGAAAUAUACACAAGGGUCUGAGAUGAUCUAAGAGAUAUUGGAGAAACCACAUUAUUAGGUUUAUGUGAGAUUAAGACCAUUUUUCAGGGAAUUCCUGGAACGAAUGUCUCAGAUGUAUGAGAUCAUUCUUUUUACUGCUUCUAAGAAGGUGUAUGCAGACAAGUUACUGAACAUACUAGACCCUAAAAAGCAACUGGUCAGGGAUAGGGAGGCUGUGUGGUCCACUGGUUAGAGCCAAGGACUGGGAGCCAGGAGGAUCCUGGGUUCCAAUGCGGGGCUAACCACUGACUUACUGUGUGACCUUGGGCAAGUCACUUGACCUCCUUGUUCCUCAGUCAACCAUCUGGAAAAUUGGUUAAAAAGCAGGACCUCGCUGACAACCAGAUGCUGCAUCUGAGCUGAGCUUUCUUGGGCACCGGCUUUUCCGUGAACAUUGUGUUUGUGUACAAGGAAACUAUAUAAAGGACUUAAAUAUUCUUGGAAGAGAUCUUUCAAAAACUAUAAUAAUUGACAACUCACCACAAGCCUUUGCAUAUCAGCUUUCUAAUGGAAUCCCUAUAGAAAGUUGGUUUAUGGAUAAAAAUGACAAUGAACUCCUAAAAUUGAUUCCAUUCCUGGAGAAGCUUGUAGAACUG
rnacentral:lncRNA from 1 species